rnacentral:rRNA from 1 species
CCUACGGGAGGCAGCAGUGAGGAAUAUUGGUCAAUGGGCGAGAGCCUGAACCAGCCAAGUCGCGUGAAGGAUGACUGCCCUAUGGUUUGUAAACUUCUUUUAUAAAGGAAUAAAACGAGGCACGUGUGCCUUUUUGCAUGUACUUUAUGAAUAAGGAUCGGCUAACUCCGUGCCAGCAGCCGCGGUAAUACGGAGGAUCCGAGCGUUAUCCGGAUUUAUUGGGUUUAAAGGGAGCGUAGAUGGGUUGUUAAGUCAGUUGUGAAAGUGUGCGGCUCAACCGUAAAAUUGCAAUUGAUACUGGCAGUCUUGAGUACAGUAGAGGUAGGCGGAAUGCGUGGUGUAGCGGUGAAAUGCUUAGAUAUCACGAAGAACCCCGAUUGCGAAGGCAGCUUACUAAACUGUGACUGACAUUGAUGCUCGAAAGUGUGGGGAUCAAACAGGAUUAGAUACCCGGGUAGUC